rnacentral:sRNA from 1 species
ACUUUCAAAGAGAAGACCGUGCUUGAUCGAAGAGGAUGACAACCCCCGAUAGAGGAGGACCAUUCCUCCGUCAAGGGUAUACAAGUAGCUGCGCUCCCCUGCUAGAACCUGCAAAUAAGCUCUCAUAGAGAAGAGCUGAGC